UACGGGGGGGGCUAGCGUUGUUCGGAGUUACUGGGCGUAAAGGGCGCGUAGGCGGUCUACUAAGUUGGAUGUGAAAACUCUGGGCUUAACCCAGAGCCUGCAUUCAAAACUGAUAGGCUAGAGUUCUGGAGGGGAUAGCGGAAUUCCUGGUGUAGCGGUGAAAUGCGUAGAUAUCAGGAGGAACACCGGUGGCGAAGGCGGCUAUCUGGACAGAAACUGACGCUGAGGCGCGAAAGCUAGGGGAGCAAACAGG
rnacentral:rRNA from 1 species